rnacentral:rRNA from 1 species
AAGACGGAGGGUGCUAGCGUUGUUCGGAAUCACUGGGCGUAAAGGGCGCGUAGGCGGCUGUGGCAGUCGGGUGUGAAAGCCCGGAGCUCAACUCCGGAACGGCACUCGAGACGCCAUGGCUGGAGGCCGGAAGAGGAGGGUGGAAUACCCAGUGUAGAGGUGAAAUUCGUAGAUAUUGGGUGGAACACCGGUGGCGAAAGCGGCUCUCUGGUCCGGACCUGACGCUGAGGCGCGAAAGCGUGGGGAGCAAACAG